AUUAUUGGGCGUAAGCGCGCGCAGGCGGUUUCUUAAGUCUGAUGUGAAAGCCCACGGCUCAACCGUGGAGGGUCAUUGGAAACUGGGGAACUUGAGUGCACAUGAGAAAAGCGGAAUUCCACGUGUAGCGGUGAAAUGCGUAGAGAUGUGGAGGAACACCAGUGGCGAAGGCGGCUUUUUGGUCUGUAACUGACGCUGAGGCGCGAAAGCGUGGGGAGCAAACAGGAUUAGAUACCCUGGUAGUCCACGCCGUACACGAUGAGUGCUAAGUGUUAGAGGGUUUCCGCCCUUUAGUGCUGCAGCUAACGCAUUAACCACUCGGCCUGGGGACUACGGACGCAAGACUCAAACUCAAAAGAAUUGACGGGG
rnacentral:rRNA from 2 species